AGACGCCGGAUUUAACUAAAGAGGGAGACGCUUCAUUCAAUCAGAACAAUGGACACCGGUGCACAAUGGUCAAUGCAUAAGCGGGGCGAAAAAUGUUUGGAUUUCUGCACACGUCGUCCACGGCAGCCGGUGUUUGCAUGCGUGCGUGUGCAUGAGAGAGAGAGAGAGAGAGAGAGAGAGAGAGAGAGAGAGAGAGAGAGAGAGAGGGGGGACCGGCGGCGCAGCAGCUCCGCGCACACACCGUCAUCCAUCUGAGGCUGGUGAGGACAUGUGGGAUGCGGGGAGCGGAUGCAGCAGCAGCGGCAGCGGUAGUGUGUCCAGAGCCGCCUCGGCCUUGGCUGGUCUGUGGUCAGUGAAGCUCCAGUACCGGCAGUGUUUCAAAGCCCUCUGUGAUGGUUGGAUCAGAUCACUGUGUGGGUUUACUCAGUGAAGCCUUGCACCGUGUGGGUUCCUCUCUGGACUUCGGCUUAUAGUUUGAGUACAGACUUGAGUUGACAUGUAUGGACCUGAUGGAAAGGUGCAGGAUUUACUCGAAAAGUUGAAUAUGUGAAACUGAGACAGAGGAACAGUCACAGACCAAGCAACACACACUCUGUCUGUAGGCCUGAAUCUGAACCUGUAGGGCACAAGGUCAGCAGCGACACAAACACACCGCUUCCUCUGCUGAGAAACAAGAGGAUAUUCGGUGGGUCAGGAUGAGGCUCCAUCGCUCUGUAGUCAACAGCAGGAAGAGGAGGAGGAGGCAGUGGAGGAGGAAAACUAGCAGCAGAGUGGGUGGAAGGAUGGAAGGAAAGAAGGAUAGAAGCAGUUCGAGGAGGUGGUUCGAAGCGGGUGAACCCAGAGCAGGUGAACACAGCUGUGGAUCGCCAUGGGCUCUCUGGCUGCCUUCCUCCUGUGGCCCCAGCGCUGCAUACACGGGUCCCAGGGAGCCAGCAGGGGCCAGCCAAAGCUGCGGCAGAGUGGGCAGGCUAGGCCAACCAAGCCAGGAGAGAGGCAGGUGAGGCGGGUGAGCAGAGCUCUCAUUCCCGCCGGCUAGGAGCCUCCGCGGCAGAGUGGAGCAGCGCGGAGCAGCAGAAAUCAAUACAGAGGAGAGAGGCUAGCAGAGGUUGCCCAGCACCGCCUGCAGGCCUCGGAGCCCAGGGACCAACCACCACCACUGCUCCCAGCUCCUCUCUCCAUCUCUCUUUCUAUCUUUCUUCAGCAGUCCCAGCAUCAGCCAGGGCCAGGGCCCCAACCCCGCAACCACCCCACACGCAGUGUGUGUGUGUGUCAGCACAUGCACAUGUGUGUGAAAUAAAGAGAGUGAAAGAAAGACAGAGAGAAAGUCUUUGUGUGUGGUUCAGCCGGAGGGGUUUUUGCUGCGUCCAACACCACUUGAUAAAACUUUGUCAGAGACGUGGAGACAGCAGGGGAGGGAGAGAAACACAAGAAGAAUAAUACAGGACGUCGAAGGUCUCUUUUCUUCCAACUCCCUCCCUCCUUUUACUCAUUCCACCUUUACUGUUUGAAUCUCGAUUCAUCGGAGACAGUACACUUUCUGUUCUGCUCCACAUCCAAGACCGUAGCGCAGUUUUCCAUAAGAUCUCACAAGCCGGGAUGAAGGGACAAUUUGAACUUUUUCUCUCAUCCACCGCAUCAGACAGAGCCUGUCUUUUCGCCUUAGAUUUUCUUACUCUUACUACAGCAGCUCCCAUCAGAGGAUAUGGCAGUGCAGUAUUGAUCUAUAAGGUGGGGGAGAGGAAGGAGGGCCUGGGCUUUCAUACUUCUCUCUCACUGUGUGUGUGGAAAUAGCACCUGAAGUCCACUUACUGCUGUGCAGCAGGAAUCCCAUGGCAGCAGAAGUGAAUGGCUGCUAAUUGAAUGAGAGAUGAAAAGGACAGUAGUUCUACUUGUUCAGUGCCCCCUCGUUCUGUCUAAUACCACUUGGUUUUUCAUCUGACUUUUUCUACUCCACAUUUACAAAAGUCCUUCUCCACACAAAGAGACAUACACUUGAGAUAUUUUAAUAACAUUGCCGGUGACUAAAGAAAACUGGUGAAAACCUGUGGAAUGAAAACACCGGUGUGAGGUGAAUGCCUUCAGCAGAAAACCAAGAUGUUUUUUCAUGAAGUGAUAGAGACAUCCAGCUUAAAGCUCUAAGAGGUCAAGCCAUGAAGCACACAGUAUACUUUGUGUACUUGGAAGGACAUUAAAGGACAGCUGGGGAGUCUGCCAGGCAUCAAACCCACAGAGACUGCAACGAAGUUCGUACCUUUUGAUCCAGGAAUGCCACCAUGGAGAUGAAAAGUGGCAAACCUUCCUCUACACCUGGGCCUGAUUCUUACAGAGAACGCACACCAUCCAUCUGCAGCUAAUUUCUCAGAUCAUGUUUAGCCUCGGCCACAUAUGGAAAAUGCCACCUCUACACCUGGAUGAAUAGUCAGUUAGACACACAUAAUCAGAGGCUGAUUAUCAGUGUUCUCGUCUGCAGCCUUUGUGGAUGUGGACAGGUAAGUAGGAGCUGCUUGAAAAAGGUAAGCUUAGGGGUUGAAUCGAUUUAAGAGCUGUCUGAAGUGUAAAAUGGAGCUGCCAAGCAAUAUUUUUCAAAAUUAGUUUCAUUAGAUAUGAAUUACUAUAUUUGAGACCAAUUUUAGGUCGGAGAUUGGAUGAGACCCCAAGGGGUCCUUCUUUUUACUCUGUAAUUUACAUUCAAGUAUUUGACUGGAAAAUCAUUUGACAAGAAUUUGUCAUUGUUGAAUUAGUUUCCUCUUUUCUGUGUUAUAUUAUGUACAUAUACAUAUUUAUACAAUCUUUUUCAUAGUGUAAGGAAAUAAUUUACAAUAAAACAUUUAAUGAGAUUGCCAAAUGCAAAAACUUUGGUUUUGAUAUGAUAUAUAUUUUCAAUAAAACUGAACAAUUUGUGAAAU